rnacentral:rRNA from 1 species
GAUGAACGCUGGCGGCGUGCCUAACACAUGCAAGUCGAACGAUUCUCUUCGGAGAAGAGCGGCGGACGGGUGAGUAACGCGUGGGUAACCUGCCCUGUACACACGGAUAACAUACCGAAAGGUAUGCUAAUACGAGAUAAUAUGCUUUUAUCGCAUGGUAGAAGUAUCAAAGCUUUUGCGGUACAGGAUGGACCCGCGUCUGAUUAGCUAGUUGGUGAGGUAACGGCUCACCAAGGCGACGAUCAGUAGCCGACCUGAGAGGGUGAUCGGCCACAUUGGAACUGAGACACGGUCCAAACUCCUACGGGAGGCAGCAGUGGGGAAUAUUGCACAAUGGGCGAAAGCCUGAUGCAGCAACGCCGCGUGAGCGAUGAAGGCCCUCGGGUCGUAAAGCUCUGUCCUCAAGGAAGAUAAUGACGGUACUUGAGGAGGAAGCCCCGGCUAACUAC